rnacentral:tRNA from 1 species
UUGGAGCGGCCCGCCAGGACGUACAGGGUGCCGUCGCCGUCGGCGUAGCCCUGCUUGCGCAGUUCGACCUUGCGGCUCUUGA